rnacentral:rRNA from 1 species
AAGAAAGUAAGAAAGGGCGCAUGGCGGAUGCCUUGGCUCACGGAGGCGAUGAAGGACGUGAUAAGCUGCGAUAAGCCUUGGGUAGGUGCAAAUAACCUUUGAUCCAAGGAUUUCCGAAUGGGACAACCCAGCAGGUUGAAGACCUGUUAUCACUACAGACGUAGUGAGGCGAACGAAGGGAACUGAAACAUCUUAGUACCUUUAGGAAGAGAAAAUAAAUAAUGAUUCCCCUAGUAGUGGCGAGCGAACGGGGAAUAGCCCGUGAGACCGAUAGUGAACGAGUACUGUGAAGGAAAGGUGAAAAGCACUCCGAUGAGGAGAGUGAAAUAGUUCCUGAAACCAUGCGCCUACAAGCGGUCGGAGCCGCGUAAGCGGUGACGGCGUGCCUUUUGCAUAAUGAACCUACGAGUUACCAUGUCUGGCAAGGAUAAGCGUCAUGAGACGCGCAUCCGCAGUGAAAGCGAGCCUGAAUAGGGCGUCGAGUCAGAUGGGGUAGACGCGAAACCAAGUGAUCUACACUUCCCCAGUUUGAAGU